rnacentral:rRNA from 1 species
AGGACGAACGCUGGCGGCGUGCCUAACACAUGCAAGUGGAGCGACGAACCGGGCUUCGGCCCGGGGCAAAGCCGCGAACGGGUGAGUAACACGUGGGUAACCUGCCCCGAUGAUUGGGACAACCCGAGGAAACUCGGGCUAAUACCGAAUGUGCCCUCCGGCCUCAAGGCCGCUGGGGGAAAGGAAGCUUCGGCCUCCGCAUCGGGAUGGGCCCGCGGCCCAUUAGCUUGUUGGUGAGGUAACGGCUCACCAAGGCGACGAUGGGUAGCUGGUCUGAGAGGACGAUCAGCCACACUGGGACUGAGACACGGCCCAGACUCCUACGGGAGGCAGCAGUUAGGAAUUUUCCGCAAUGGGCGAAAGCCUGACGGAGCAACGCCGCGUGUGUGAUGAAGGCCUUCGGGUUGUAAAGCACUGUCGGAGGGAAGAAUGAAUGACGGUACCUCCAAGAAGCCCGGCUAACUACGUGCCAGCAGCCGC